UACGAAGGGGGCUAGCGUUGCUCGGAAUUACUGGGCGUAAAGCGCACGUAGGCGGACCAGCAAGUUAGGGGUGAAAUCCCGGGGCUCAACCCCGGAACUGCCUUUAAAACUGUUGGUCUGGAGGUAGAGAGAGGUGAGUGGAAUUCCGAGUGUAGAGGUGAAAUUCGUAGAUAUUCGGAGGAACACCAGUGGCGAAGGCGGCUCACUGGCUCGAUACUGACGCUGAGGUGCGAAAGCGUGGGGAGCAAACGGG
rnacentral:rRNA from 1 species